rnacentral:lncRNA from 1 species
UCUAUCUCUCUCUCUCUCUCUCUCUCUCUCUCUCUCUCUCUCUCUCUCUGCCUGCGUGCGCGUGCCUGCAUGCAUGCACAUCCAAUUUAUCCUGGAUCUGUGAAAUUUUAAGAUAUAUUAUCUUAUUUGUGUACUAAUUCUUGUGGUAAGUGUGUGGUCGUUAAAGGAUACUCUCUUUGGUCUUUUCCAUGGAUGGUUUUGUGUAUUGGAUAUAAUAUAUGAGCUAUUGUAGGUG